CUGUUGCGUAUGUAGCUUAGGUAUAUCUCCUUCUUUAGCAAAAAAGAAUAAUUAAAAAAAAAAAAAGAAACGAAGCCUGGGCCCUUGCAUCUGUUAUAACCUCAAACUAUCGAAUCGGUGUUUACGCAGCACAUCCUUCCUUCCUUGCUUUAGUUUCUAGAUCUGUAAAAUUAGAGAAGAAUUCGUCUCUCCUGCCAUGUUGAAUAUCACAUUAGUAAGCCAGCGUCAAAUUUUGGUUUUAUGUGCCCUAAUCUGUUCAUUAUUUUCCCGAGAAGAGAGAAAAUCUACUAAAUUUGUGAACAGAUGCGUUUUCCACCGCCACCGCCACAGGCUAAGUUUUGCCGGAUGACGCCUAAAGAGAUGGAUGGAGGCCUUCUCAGCUAAGGUGAAGAAAAGCCAGGUAAAUAAGAUAUAUAUCUAAUUUGCGAAUGAAUGCACUUCAUUCUUGUGGCUCGUCCUCCUCUUACAGGGAUUUCGUCAUCCUCCACUCGUUCUGAUUGGCUUAAAAUCUAGGACUUCGAUGUCGAUGGCUUCCCUCAUAUCUAUAGCCACAUGAUUCGACCGGCUUGACCAGGAGAUUUUGACCCUGCCCACUACGACCACUUUCUUCGGCUUGCUGUUGCUAAUUACCUACAAUGCCUACCAGGUUAGCUCAGGCUUGUCGGCUGAUUUUAUUUCUGCAUACACAUUACACUGGCAUCCGUUCACUCUUUUGUGUUGAUUGCUUGUUUAAUUCUACUCGGACCUAACAUUAAUUUGAAUCGUUGUACCUGAACUGUCAUGCAUAGUUGGGCAUAGUAAUACAAAUCCAGUUCUACUGUGAAGGUACUCUUUGGUUGUGCUAAUCAAACUUGAAAAUGAGGCUGGGAUCAUCAGUCUUGAGAAUAAGAACUGAUUAAUUUUGUUGGCCUCUCAGCCCACGAUGAUAUGCAAUCCCCGGCUUCUGAAGUCGAAUUACGAACGUUGUGGUAGUUCUAUGAUUCAAUAAAUGACAUUCGAGGCCUUGGAUUGUGCUGCUGGUACUUUUAAAGUGCACAAGGCUCGUGCGUUUGAGAGGUUUCAACUCGACCGAUCGUAUUGCUACUUUUGCAGGAUCAAAGGAUCAAAGAAGAUUUCUCCGAUGCCUCCUGGUGCUAAUGGCCCUUCUCGCCCCAUGAUUGUAGAUUAUAACCACUGUAGCCUGGUUUUCGGAUAGAACCGUAGGAGAAGGAUUAUAUUUAUGUUUCCGGUUUGCUUGCUGGUUCCGUGAAUGGGAACGGAGGAAAUUGGAAGAUAUGCUAAACGUGAAGAAGCUAAGCUUUGACUGGACUCCUAAUAGCAAGGUAGCUGUUCCGGGGUCCUGGCCGAGAUGAGGCAUGAUGUAAUAGAAAAGGAAGUCCAUCGACUUUAAGUAGACAUAUUAUUUAUCUCGUGUUCAAUGUAAUUAAGCAACAAUUAGCUAAUGAUGCUUAUGUACAUAUAUAUAUAUAUAUAUAUAUAUACCGAUCCGGAGUGGAAUGAUUUCGGUUUUC